UGAUGGCAAGCAAAAUAUCUCAGUAUCCUUUCUUCCUUCUCCUACUCAGCAGCCUGAUCAUCACUUGUCCUCCCCUUUGUAGCAGCACGGCUUCUCAUUCUCAAGAUGAUCGAAAGUCAUAUAUCGUCUAUAUGGAUGACCGGCCUAAGAGCGAAUUCUCGGCUUCUUCGCUUCACUUGAGCAUGCUGCACGAAGUCGCUGGCAGCAAUUUUUCUCCGGAAUCUCUGCUCCAUAGCUUCAACAGAACUUUCAAUGGAUUUGUAGUGAAGGUGUCAGAGGACUAGGUGGAAAAACUUGCUGCAAUGUCCAGCGUAGUAUCUAUAUUUCCUAAUAGAAAGAAAAAGCUUCACACGACAAGGUCAUGGGACUUCAUGGGAUUUUCACAAGAAGUUCAAAGGACCAACGUAGAAAGCAAUAUCAUUGUUGGGAUGCUUGACACUGGGAUCUGGCCCGGGUCCGAAAGCUUUAAUGAUGCAGGAUUUGGUCCACCACCAAGCAAAUGGAAGGACUCUAUCGUCUCAUCCAAUUUCUCUUGCAAUAAUAAAAUAAUCGGAGCAAAGUAUUAUCGUAGUGAUGGAAUGUUCAAUCAAAGUGAUGUCAAAUCUCCAAGGGAUUCAGAA